ACCCCUUGAAGACGACGAGGUAGAUAGGGCAGAGGUGGAAGUGCGGUAACGCAUGGAGCUGACUGUUACUAAUAGGUCGAGGGCAUAACCAA
rfam:Lachnoclostridium sp. An298 An298_contig_63, whole genome shotgun sequence.